AUUGAACGCUGGCGGCAUGCUUUACACAUGCAAGUCGAACGGUAACAGGCCGUAAGGUGCUGACGAGUGGCGAACGGGUGAGUAAUGCAUCGGAACGUGCCCAGUCGUGGGGGAUAACGCAGCGAAAGCUGCGCUAAUACCGCAUACGAUCUAUGGAUGAAAGCGGGGGACCGUAAGGCCUCGCGCGAUUGGGGCGGCCGAUGUCAGAUUAGGUAGUUGGUGGGGUAAAGGCUCACCAAGCCAACGAUCUGUAGCUGGUCUGAGAGGACGACCAGCCACACUGGGACUGAGACACGGCCCAGACUCCUACGGGAGGCAGCAGUGGGGAAUUUUGGACAAUGGGCGCAAGCCUGAUCCGGCAAUGCCGCGUGCAGGAAGAAGGCCUUCGGGUUGUAAACUGCUUUUGUACGGAACGAAAAGGCUCUGGAUAAUACCUGGGGCUCAUGACGGUACCGUAAGAAUAAGCACCGGCUAACUACGUGCCAGCCGCCGCCGUAACAC
rnacentral:rRNA from 1 species